rnacentral:antisense_RNA from 1 species
CUUGACCGAACCGAGCCACAGCGGCGUUUCCCGGUCCUGGCCGUAGGUGGCGAGAACCGCCUGGGCCUC